GAUGAAGAACGCAGCGAAAUGCGAUAAGUAAUGUGAAUUGCAGAAUUCAGUGAAUCAUCGAAUCUUUGAACGCACAUUGCGCCCGCCAGUAUUCUGGCGGGCAUGCCUGUUCGAGCGUCAUUUCAACCCUCAGGCCCCCAGUGCCUGGUGUUGGGGAUCGGCCCAGCCUUCCUGUAAGGCCGCCGGCCCCGAAAUCUAGUGGCGGUCUCGCUGUAGUCCUCCUCUGCGUAGUAGCCCAACCUCGCAGUUGGAACGCGGCGGUGGCCAUGCCGUUAAACACCCCACUUCUGAAAGUUGACCUCGGAUCAGGUAGGAAUACCCGCUGAACUUAAGCAUAUCAAUAAGCGGAGGA
rnacentral:misc_RNA from 1 species